ensembl:snRNA Gm23737 predicted gene, 23737
AUACUUACCUGGCAGGGGCGAUACCAUGAUCACAAAGAUGGUUUUCCCAGGGUGAGUUUUAUCCAUUGCACUCCAGAUGUGCUGACCCCUGCGAUUUCCCCAAAUGUGGGAAACUGCAUAAUCUGUGGUAGUGGAGGACUGCGUUCACGCUCUCCCCUU